CUUGCAAGUAGCUCUGAGCAGCUUACAUGCUAGAGGCUGUGCGUGAACAGCCCAGGAGUGGGGGUUCUCACAGCAGAGCAGAGUAAGGCUGGCUCCCUGAGUCGAGGAUUAGAGUGACCUAGCAGAUCACCGGUCCAGAUAACACCAGAGGGGAAU